GCCAUGCAUGUCUAAGCACGAACUUUUACACAGUGAAGCUGCGAAUGGCUCAUUAGGUCACCCAUUAUUUCUUGGAUCGUACAAUCCUACUUGGAUAACUGUGGUAAUUCUAGAGCUAAUACAUGCGCUGAGCCCCAACCCUCGUGGAAGGGGCGCUUUUAUUAGAUCAAAGCCAAUCGGGCCUUCGGGUCCGUUUUAAUGGUGACUCUGAAUAACUUUGCUGAUCGUAUGGUCUCGUACCGACGACGUAUCUUUCAAGUGUCUGCCUUAUCAACUGUCGAUGGUAGGUUAUGCGCCUACCAUGGUGGUAACGGGUAACGGGGAAUCAGGGUUCGAUUCCGGAGAGGGAGCCUGAGAAACGGCUACCACAUCCAAGGAAGGCAGCAGGCGCGCAAAUUACCCAAUCCUAAUUCAGGGAGGUAGUGACAAUAAAUAACGAUACGGGGCCCAUUGGGUUUCGUAAUUGGAAUGAGAACAAUUUAAAUACCUUAACGAGGAACAAGUAGAGGGCAAGUCUGGUGCCAGCAGCCGCGGUAAUUCCAGCUCUGCUAGUGUAUAUUAAAGUUGUUGCAGUUAAAAAGCUCGUAGUUGAAUGUUGAUCCUUUUGAGUGUACUACCUUUCGGUAGCGUACAAGAAAAGAUCUUUUAUCAUAUUGUGUUUACUCACAAGUAUGAUUAGUUACAUUGAAAAAAUUAGAGUGUUCAAAGCAAGCAUUUCGCAUGAAUAUUUCAGCAUGGGAUAACAGAAUAAGACGACUGUUUUAUUUUGUUGGUUCUAAAACCGUCGUAAUGGUUAAUAGGAACGGUCGGGGGUAUUAGUAUUUAGUAGUCAGAGGUGAAAUUCUUGGAUUUACUAAAGACUAACAACUGCGAAGGCAUUUACCAAGGACGUUUCCAUUAAUCAAGAGCGAAAGUUGGGGGAUCGAAGACGAUCAGAUACCGUCGUAGUCUCAACCGUAAACGAUGCCGACUCAGGAUCGGUGGGCUGUAUAUUGUGGCUCAUCGGCACUGUACGAGAAAUCAAAGUUUUUGGGCUCUGGGGGAAGUAUUUACGCAAGUAAGGAACUUAAAGGAAUUGACGGAAGGGCACCACCAGGAGUGGAACCUGCGACUUAAUUUGACUCAACACGGGGAAACUUACCAGGUCCAGACGCGGUUAGGAUUGACAGAUUGAUAGCUCUUUCAUGAUUUCGCGGGUGGUGGUGCAUGGCCGUUCUUAGUUCGUGGAUUCAUCUGGCAACUUGAUUGUGGUAACGAACGAGACCUCUGUGGGUAGUUGUUAUCAUUUAUUUAGAUAAAUGAUGGGGUCUACUCAGACUGCUGGUGCGAGCCAGAGGAAGUUGGAGGCGAUAACAGGUCUGUGAUGCCCUUAGACGUUCUGGGCUGUACGCGCGUUACACUGACGGAGCCAACGAGUUUUGGCCUUUGCCGAGAGGUAUGGGUAAUCUUGUUAAACUCCGUCGUGCUGGGGACUGAGCAUUGCAAUUAUUGCUCACGAACGAGGAAUUCCUAGUAAGCGCAAGUCAUCAGCUUGCGUUGAUUACGUCCCUGCCCUUUGUACACACCGCCCGUCGCUAGUACCGAUUGAAUGUUUUAGUGAGGUAUUUGGACUGGGCCUCUGGUGGCUCGCGCCUCCAGUGUUGCCCGGGAAGACUCCCAAACUUGAGCGUUUAGAGGAAGUAAAAA
rnacentral:rRNA from 1 species